AUUCAUCAACUUCAAUCUUUUGUAACAAAAUGGUUGAAGCUUGGUCUUGAGGGUUUUGCAGGCUCUAGUCAGUCAGCUCCCUUUAAAUUCAUUAGCGAGACUUCCCUCUGCUGACCGUCUCUGGCGUGAUAAUUAUCUGCGUCGUUGUUUUACGGUUCUCGUUGGGCUUGCUUCUAAUCGUCUUUCACCGGACAACCGAAUUGAAGUGCAUAUAUGCGCCUAUUUUCGAACCU
rnacentral:misc_RNA from 1 species